AUGGAAAGCUUACGGUGUGCAGCCGUGGACACUUGCACAUUGGAUCACAUUGGGUAUAUAUACACUUUUUCUUCACAGAUCCUUCAUUUUCCAUUUUUCUUUCUCUCUCUUACUCCCUCCUUCACUCUUUCUCAACUCUGUUUCCGGCGGCCGGCCACCGUCCCUAGAAAAAUCCCAUAUUCAACCAGAAACACUUAUUUAACCUUUUUAAACCCAAAUCAAACCAAAAAAACACAAAAUCAAACAAAAAUCUCAAAAACCUACAAAACCCUAGAUCUACUUUGUUGAAUAUUUUUUUUCUUUCAAAACCCAACAACAAAAAAUAUUUGCAUCAAAACUUUGAACAUACGAAAAAAUAAAAACGAUUUAUUUGGCGUUCUUUUUUUUUCUUUUUCAUCUUUGUGAAGUUCACAUCGGAGCUCCGCCGUCAAAGCUCUAUCACAGGUCAACUAUGAACUCAUUAAUGGAGUUUAAUACCAGAUGUAUGACCUUCAUCAUGUAAUUGGAUUUUUUUUCGAUCUGGGGUGUGGCUUCAUCUUCUUCUCUUUUGCCAAUCUGGUAUUUUUCAGUUUCCUUUUAGAUUCUAGAUUCUACAAAAGUUUCUGAAA
rnacentral:lncRNA from 1 species